CCUACGGGAGGCAGCAGUGAGGAAUAUUGGUCAAUGGUCGCGAGCCUGAACCAGCCAAGUAGCGUGAAGGAUGACUGCCCUACGUGUUGUAAACUUCUUUUAUAAAGGAAUAAAGUGAGGCACGUGUGCCUGUUUGGAUGUACUUUAUACAUAAGGAUCGGCUAACUCCGUGCCAGCAGCCGCGGUAAUACGGAGGAUUCGAGCGUUAUCCGGCUUUAUUGGGUUUAAAGGGAGCGUAGAUGGUUUGUUAAGUGAGUUGUGAAAGGUUGCGGCUCAACCGUAAAAUUGCAUUUGAUACUGGCAGCCUUGAGUUCAAUUGAGGUAGGCGGAAUUCGUGGUGUAGAGGUGAAAUGCUUAGAUAUCGCGAAGAACUCCGAUUGCGAAGGCAGCAUACUAACCUCACACUGACAUUGAUGCUCGAAAGUGUGGGUAUCGAACAGGAUUAGAUACCCGAGUAGUC
rnacentral:rRNA from 1 species